UACGUAGGGUGCGAGCGUUGUCCGGAAUUAUUGGGCGUAAAGAGCUCGUAGGCGGCCACCGCAAGUCGGUUGUGAAAUCUCUGGGCUUAACCCAGAAAGGUCAACCGAUACUGCGGGGCUAGAGUGCAGAAGGGGCAACUGGAAUUCUCGGUGUAGCGGUGAAAUGCGUAGAUAUCGAGAGGAACACCUGCGGCGAAGGCGGGUUGCUGGGCUGACACUGACGCUGAAGCGCGAAAGCGUGGGGAGCAAACAGG
rnacentral:rRNA from 1 species